AUUCCAUCAUAUAGGCACUUCCUUAGAAGUUCCUUGAAUCUCUCCCAAGCAUAUGAAAAUGUUUCAUCAACCCCUUGCUGAAACAGAAAAUUUCAUUUCUGAAUUU